UACGAAGGGGGCUAGCGUUGCUCGGAAUCACUGGGCGUAAAGGGUGCGUAGGCGGGUUUUUAAGUCAGAGGUGAAAUCCUGGAGCUCAACUCCAGAACUGCCUUUGAUACUGAAGAUCUUGAGUUCGGGAGAGGUGAGUGGAACUGCGAGUGUAGAGGUGAAAUUCGUAGAUAUUCGCAAGAACACCAGUGGCGAAGGCGGCUCACUGGCCCGAUACUGACGCUGAGGUGCGAAAGCGUGGGGAGCAAACAGG
rnacentral:rRNA from 1 species